GUUAAACUAGUCACAUUAGAGUCAGGAUUUGAACCCAGGCAGUCUGGCUUCAACGCCAAGCUUCCCCUCAAUCACUUCUACCAUCAGAUAAUAUUGCUUCAUACUCACAGUGUUAGCACCAAGAAUGUAAGUUUAGCUAACUGAUCAUAUGAAUUUUGUUGAAAUUCUGUUUAUUUUUCUUCCAGAGAACUCAAUAUGGAACACUUUUUCUCUUUUGAUUCAGACAACCUAUGGAGAUUUUGAUCCUGUACUGAAAGGAACUGAAUGUGGAAAUUUUUGGAGUGUCCAUUCAAUGCCUCCCUGGAGUCUCUGCCAAAGGAAACAUUAGACACGACUCUGUCUGGAUCCAGCUACUACAUCUAUGAUGCUGUGGAUGUGGUGGCCUGAGCCCUCCAUGAAAUACUUUUUAUAAAAGCAGAACAGGGGUCCAUAAUGGAUGCAGGCCAGCUCAUGUUUCUCCCUUAGCAGGUUGCAAGUAAACCUCUAAUGAUUGUAGGGUCUAAUUAGCAACAGUGUCAACUCUUUUAACUAGAAAUAAUUGAUUAAAAACUUUCACUGUGAGAGGUAGGAAGAAGCAGGCUGUCUUUCUUUGUCUCUUCUUGAGCUCAAGGAAACUCCCUAGCACCCCUAAAGCAAACCUCAUUGCUCAAGCUCCACCCAUUCCUAAGAAACACCCAAUUUAAAAAAAGCACUGGAGCUCACGUGUCACUGGAUGAGAAAAGAAACUCUGUGUCACAGCAUAUAAUUCUGAACUAUAUGAUUUUCCUAAAGGUCUUGGACUUCAGGUGAAAGACGUUCUGUCAGCCAGGAUUCAGGAACAUCCCUCAGGAAGAGAGAGCUACCUGCUGCUUUGUCUGUGUAUUGUGCCCAGAGAGAGAAAUAUGUAAUCAGACAGAAAAGAAAAGUGUCUGUGGGGCUCAAGUUUGAGUUGAAACCAGGCUCAGGGUCCACCUGUCCUCGCUGAUCCGUGGAUUUCUGUGUGACCAGCUGACACCUAUGGAGCUGUGGCCCUGACUACUACCAGCUUGCUCAUCCCUCUACUCACACAGUCACCCCUCCCCUCACUCUCAUUUAUGCUUCACCUGUGAAUGGUGGUCCUGGGACAGCCACUGCUGGAGCCCGGGUGAGCCUGGGGGCUCCUCCCACUCUGUCCCUCCCUGAUGACAGCCCUCGCCACAGCUCCCGAGCCAGCCACCACGUCCCUGCAUACUUCAUCAUCACCUGUGCCACCAGAAGCCACCACAGCUUUGGGACACAACCUGAAGACCCUCACAGUCACCUUCCCCAUCUCCACCCUCCAGUAUUCAUCAGACAGGAGCAACGGCUCAGCCACGUUCCACUCCACUGAGAGGGUCCUGCAGAGCCUGGUGAGACCCUGGUUCCAGCAGCUCCUGGCCUGAGAAGGAUGGGGAAGCCACCGGUGUGGACGCUGUCUGCACCCACCGCCGUGACCCCGUG